UAAUCGCGCAUCAGCCAUGGCGCGGUGAAUACGUUCCCGGGCCUUGUACACACCGCCCGUCAAGCCAUGGGAGCCGGGGGUACCUGAAGUCCGUAACCGCAAGGAUCGGCCUAGGGUAAAACUGGUGACUGGGGCUAAGUCGUAACAAGGUAGCCGUACCGGAAGGUGCGGCUGGAACACCUCCUUU
rnacentral:rRNA from 1 species